AAUGAACGCUAGCGACAGGCUUAACACAUGCAAGUCGCGGGGCAGCAUGGGGGUUGCUUGCAACCCCUGAUGGCGACCGGCGCACGGGUGAGUAACGCGUAUCCAACCUGCCCUUCACCACGGGAUAACCCGGCGAAAGUCGGACUAAUACCGUAUGUUGUCCAUUGACGGCAUCCGAUUUGGACGAGAGGCUGGGGGGUGUAAGGAAGGGGCUGCGUCCGAUUAGCUUGACGGCGGGGGAACGGCCCACCGUGGCUACGUACGGUAGGGGGGCUGGGAGGAAGGUCCCCCACACUGGAGCUGAGACCCGGUCCAGAAUCCUACGGGAGGCAGCAGUGAGGAAUAUUGGUCACUGGGCGUUAGCCUGACCCAGCCAAGUAGCGUGCAGGAUGACGGCCAUAUGGGUUGUAAACUGCUUUUAUGCGGGGAUAAAGUGGCCCACGUGUGGGCUUUUGCAGGUACCGCAUGAAUAAGGACCGGCUAAUUCCGUG
rnacentral:rRNA from 1 species